GAAAGCAUAGUUUAUUAAGUAGAAUACUAUUUUUGUAAAAUAGAGGGAGGUUUAUUCCUUGUUUUCU
rnacentral:tRNA from 1 species